UCCAUCCGAGGCUCCCAGAAAACCUAGCAUCCUCCAUCUUCCCCUCCUUGAGCCGCCGAAAUUGUUUUCCCCUCUCCCAUGAAAAGAUCAGAAACAGUUUCAGAAAAUUUAGAGAGCUCGUCGUUAAUUCCAUCACCACCGGUCGACCUUGUCGGCGUUCUGCAUGCUGCCGUGCCUGUCUGAGUGCGGGGAUGGAGCCUGCACCGUCCUCAACCUCCUAGAUGAAGAAUCAGGAACGGAGCCGUCUCAGGUCCUCGUGGCUGUCAAGUUCCUCUCCCGGGAGCGCUGUCCGUGCUCGCCGUCGUCUCCCGCACCCUCGACCUCUUUCGGUUCGCCAGCGCCUUCCUGAUGGCCGCCGCCUCGCUCGUCUGCAUCCCCUGCGUGGUCUCGCGUCCCCGAGCGGUUCCUCUUCACCAUCGAGCCCCUAGGU